CCUACGGGAGGCAGCAGUGGGGAAUUUUGGACAAUGGGCGCAAGCCUGAUCCAGCAAUGCCGCGUGAGUGAAGAAGGCCUUCGGGUUGUAAAGCUCUUUUGUCAGGGAAGAAACGGCUGAGGCUAAUAUCCUCGGCUAAUGACGGUACCUGAAGAAUAAGCACCGGCUAACUACGUGCCAGCAGCCGCGGUAAUACGUAGGGUGCAAGCGUUAAUCGGAAUUACUGGGCGUAAAGCGUGCGCAGGCGGUUUUGUAAGUCUGUCGUGAAAGCCCCGGGCUUAACCUGGGAAUUGCGAUGGAGACUGCAAGGCUUGAAUCUGGCAGAGGGGGGUAGAAUUCCACGUGUAGCAGUGAAAUGCGUAGAGAUGUGGAGGAACACCGAUGGCGAAGGCAGCCCCCUGGGUCAAGAUUGACGCUCAUGCACGAAAGCGUGGGGAGCAAACAGGAUUAGAUACCCUGGUAGUCCACGCCCUAAACGAUGUCUACUAGUUGUCGGGUCUUAAUUGACUUGGUAACGCAGCUAACGCGUGAAGUAGACCGCCUGGGGAGUACGGUCGCAAGAUUAAAACUCAAAGGAAUUGACCGGNNGAGAGAGCGAGACGACGACGAGGGAGGAGG
rnacentral:rRNA from 1 species